rnacentral:rRNA from 1 species
AUGAACGCUGGCGGCGUGCCUAAUACAUGCAAGUCGAACGCUUCACAUAUGUGAAGAGUGGCGAACGGGUGAGUAAUACAUAAGUAACCUGGCCUUUACAGGGGGAUAACUGUUGGAAACGAUAGCUAAGACCGCAUAGGUGUGAUAACCGCAUGGAGAUGACAUGAAAUAUGCUACGGCAUAGGUAGAGGAUGGACUUAUGGCGCAUUAGCUAGUUGGAGGGGUAACGGCCCACCAAGGCGACGAUGCGUAGCCGACCUGAGAGGGUGACCGGCCACACUGGGACUGAGACACGGCCCAGACUCCUACGGGAGGCAGCAGUAGGGAAUUUUCGGCAAUGGGGGAAACCCUGACCGAGCAACGCCGCGUGAAGGAAGAAGUAAUUCGUUAUGUAAACUUCUGUCAUAGAGGAAGAACGGUGCGUGUAGGGAAUGACAUGCAAGUGACGGUACUCUAUAAGAAAGCCACGGCUAACUACGUGCCAGCAGCCGCGGUAAUACGUAGGUGGCGAGCGUUAUCCGGAAUUAUUGGGCGUAAAGAGGGAGCAGGCGGCACUAAGGGUCUGUGGUGAAAGAUCGAAGCUUAACUUCGGUAAGCCAUGGAAACCGUAGAGCUAGAGUGUGUGAGAGGAUCGUGGAAUUCCAUGUGUAGCGGUGAAAUGCGUAGAUAUAUGGAGGAACACCAGUGGCGAAGGCGACGAUCUGGCGCAUAACUGACGCUCAGUCCCGAAAGCGUGGGGAGCAAAUAGGAUUAGAUACCCUAGUAGUCCACGCCGUAAACGAUGAGUACUAAGUGUUGGGAGUCAAAUCUCAGUGCUGCAGUUAACGCAAUAAGUACUCCGCCUGAGUAGUACGUUCGCAAGAAUGAAACUCAAAGGAAUUGACGGGGGCCCGCACAAGCGGUGGAGCAUGUGGUUUAAUUCGAAGCAACGCGAAGAACCUUACCAGGUCUUGACAUCGAUCUAAAGGCUCCAGAGAUGGAGAGAUAGCUAUAGAGAAGACAGGUGGUGCAUGGUUGUCGUCAGCUCGUGUCGUGAGAUGUUGGGUUAAGUCCCGCAACGAGCGCAACCCUUACGGUUAGUUGAUACGCAAGAUCACUCUAGCCGGACUGCCGUUGACAAAACGGAGGAAGGUGGGGACGACGUCAAAUCAUCAUGCCCCUUAUGGCCUGGGCUACACACGUACUACAAUGGACAGAGCAGAGGGAAGCGAAGCCGCGAGGUGAAGCGAAACCCAGAAAACUGUUCUCAGUUCGGACUGCAGUCUGCAACUCGACUGCACGAAGUUGGAAUCGCUAGUAAUCGCGAAUCAGCAUGUCGCGGUGAAUACGUUCUCGGGCCUUGUACACACCGCCCGUCACACCAUGAGAGUCGGUAACACCCGAAGCCGGUGGCCUAACCGCAAGGAAGGAGCUGUCUAAGGUGGGACUGAUGAUUGGGGUG